rnacentral:rRNA from 1 species
UCUAGGGGUAGCAAUACCACUGGCGCACGGGUGAAGUAACACGUAGGUUAUCUGCCCCUAUCACAGACAUAGCCUCGGGAAACCGAGGCUAAUAUCUGAUGAGGUCGUGAGAUCAAAGCUUCGGCGGAUAGGGAUGAGCCUGCGGCUGAUUAGCUAGUUGGUGAGGUAAUGGCUCACCAAGGCGACGAUCAGUAGCUGGUCUGAGAGGACGAACAGCCACACUGGAACUGAGACACGGUCCAGACUCCUACGGGAGGCAGCAGUGAGGAAUAUUGGUCAAUGGGAGCAAUCCUGAACCAGCAAUGCCGCGUGUGGGAUGACAGGGCUUCGCCUUGUAAACCACUGUCGGAUGGGACGAAAGGAACCCUCGGGGUUCUGGGACGGUACCAUCAAAGGAAGGGUCGGCUAACUACGUGCCAGCAGCCGCGGUAAUACGUAGGACCCGAGCGUUGUCCGGAUUUACUGGGUAUAAAGGGUGCGUAGGCGGCCUUGUGCGUCAGAGGUGAAAUAUCCGGGCUUAACCCGGAGGGUGCCUUUGAUACGGCGAGGCUUGAGUGCGAGAGAGGAUGAUGGAAUUCCUGGUGUAGCGGUGAAAUGCGUAGAUAUCAGGAGGAACACCGGUGGCGAAGGCGGUCAUCUGGCUCGUAACUGACGCUGAGGCACGAAAGCGCGGGGAUCAAACAGGAUUAGAUACCCUGGUAGUCCGCGCCCUAAACGAUGUAUGCUUGGUGUUGGGUCCGCAAGGACUCAGUGCCGUAGGGAAUCUGAUAAGCAUACCACCUGGGGAGUACGAUCGCAAG